ACUGACUUUUAGCUACAUGUAGAGAUGAGGGACGUGUCUGUUCUGAUGUUCCAUCAGAUACUUCAAAUUGUGUGUGUUUCCUCUCCAUUUAGGGUAGCAGUUCUUCUGAAAAAUCCAAAUCCGUAGGAUCAUCCCGCUCCAAAAGGAAACCCACAGUCGUAACAAAAUAUGUUGGCUCCGAUGACGAACAAAAUUUGGAUGAAUCCAUGAAUCAGGAUGGCUCGAAUGAAAACUCCGAAAA